rnacentral:rRNA from 1 species
ACUCUGACAGCCAUGCCGCGUGCAGGAAGACUGCCCUAUGGGUUGUAAACUGCUUUUAUCCGGGAAUAAACCUACUUACGUGUAAGUAGCUGAAUGUACCGGAAGAAUAAGGAUCGGCUAACUCCGUGCCAGCAGCCGCGGUAAUACGGAGGAUCCAAGCGUUAUCCGGAUUUAUUGGGUUUAAAGGGUGCGUAGGCGGCCUGUUAAGUCAGGGGUGAAAGACGGUAGCUCAACUAUCGCAGUGCCCUUGAUACUGAUGGGCUUGAAUGGACUAGAGGUAGGCGGAAUGAGACAAGUAGCGGUGAAAUGCAUAGAUAUGUCUCAGAACACCGAUUGCGAAGGCAGCUUACUAUGGUCUUAUUGACGCUGAGGCACGAAAGCGUGGGGAUCAAACAGGAUUAGAUACCCUGGUAGUCCACGCCCUAAACGAUGAACACUCGCUGUUGGCGAUACACAGUCAGCGGCUAAGCGAAAGCGUUAAGUGUUCCACCUGGGGAGUACGCCCGCAAGGGUGAAACUCAAAGGAAUUGACGGGGGCCCGCACAAGCGGAGGAGCAUGUGGUUUAAUUCGAUGAUACGCGAGGAACCUUACCCGGGCUUGAAAGUUAGUGAAUGAUUUAGAGAUAGAUCAGUGAGC